AGGAAGCACCACCACUUUUGGGCACUUAUUCUUGGGUCUGUAUACCAGCAGAACUUGGACACAACAUGCUGGUUCCCAUGGGCCCCUAAGAAUUGCUGUGGUGUCCCAAUGGAUGGAACCCAGGGUGUCAUCUGAAUCCUAGCAUUCCACAUUGUGACCUCUCAGCUCCCUGGUGCCAGUUAGUCUGAAAUUCCCAGGAUCUCUGGGCCAUGACACAAGGUCCUGGCAUCCACUCAUCUUGUUUUCAAAAGCCCUCUGAUGGAGAAGAACAGUCUCUUAGCCCCACAUGACAUGUCUUAAACAAUAGGAAUCUAGAGGAAACUGCCCUCCUGCCUGUUUUUCUGUAUCCUUCCAAAACCUGUUACAUUCUGGCAAAAGCCCAAAAACCAACCACCAGGACCCUAAGGAGAAGUAGUACAUAUGUGGGAAGGAGAAGUCAGAAAGAUACGAAGUUUGACAGAGACAAUGCUUCACUGAUGGGUCUGAAGAUGGAGAAGCUAUGUGAGAAGGACUAAAGGUGAUCCCGAGAAGCAAAGACCACACCCCACUGGACAGCAAGCAAAGGAAAUAAGAAUCUCAGACCUACAAAUGCAAGGAAGUGAAUUCAGCCAACAACUUGAAUGAGUUAUUAAAAUCAAGUUCACUGCUAACCACCUUGACAUGAGAUAAAUCUGGAAACCCUUCGGAUCUGAUGGGACCUGCUCAGCCUCCUGGAUACUUUUUCUCGGAGUAGAGUGGCAUAUCCAAUGUGUUCAUAAAUGGGGUUUGUUGUCAUUUUG